AUACGGAGGGUGCGAGCGUUAAUCGGAAUUACUGGGCGUAAAGCGCGCGUAGGCGGCUAAUUAAGUCAGAUGUGGAAGCCCUGGGCUCAACCUGGGAACUGCAUUUGAUACUGGUUGGCUAGAGUUUGGUAGAGGGUAGUGGAAUUCCGGGUGUAGCGGUGAAAUGCGUAGAGAUCCGGAGGAACACCAGUGGCGAAGGCGGCUACCUGGACCAAAACUGACGCUGAGGUGCGAAAGCGUGGGGAGCAAACAGGAUUAGAUACCCCGGUAGUCC
rnacentral:rRNA from 1 species